AUUGAACGCUGGCGACAUGCCUUACACAUGCAAGUCGAACGGCAGCACGGGUGCUUGCCCCUGGUGGCGAGUGGCGAACGGGUGAGUAAUACAUCGGAACAUGUCCUGUAGUGGGGGAUAGCCCGGCGAAAGCCGGAUUAAUACCGCAUACGAUCUACGGAUGAAAGCGGGGGACCUUCGGGCCUCGCGCUAUAGGGUUGGCCGAUGGCUGAUUAGCUAGUUGGUGGGGUAAAGGCCUACCAAGGCGACGAUCAGUAGCUGGUCUGAGAGGACGACCAGUCACACUGGGACUGAGACACGGCCCAGACUCCUACGGGAGGCAGCAGUGGGGAAUUUUGGACAAAGGGCGAAAGCCUGAUCCAGCAAUGCCGCGUGUGUGAAGAAGGCCUUCGGGUUGUAAAGCACUUUUGUCCGGAAAGAAAUCCUUGGCCCUAAUACGGUCGGGGGAUGACGGUACCGGAAGAAUAAGCACCGGCUAACUACGUG
rnacentral:rRNA from 1 species